UUAAUCUGCACACAGCAGGCAGCAACAGAAAUGAGCUGCACCUGAAGGGAGGAAAGAGAUGAUCUCCUCUUUUCAUUUCUUCACCAGAUUGAAGGAGUGAAAACUACAAGACACAAGAAGUUUAGUCAUUACCAAAGUUCUGUAUAAAUUCAAACAAUAAACUAAUACAAGUUGUUGCUAAUGCUAAGCUACAUGCUAAUGCUAAACCUUAACUUCAGUACAGGAACUUACAUUUCUGUUGCUGCGUGCUGUGUGCAGAUUAGAGAAAGAACCCUGAACUUCCUGUUUCCUUUAUAACUUCCUGUUCCCUGAAUUAACAGAGGAGAGGUGUUCUUGGUGUUCACAUAUCAUAUAAACAGUGUCUGUAGUGACUUCACUGAUGCUCCAUAUUUUACUUGAGCUCCUUUUAACUUUGAACCAUAUUAUCCUGAUAUAUGAUUGACCAUAUGUAUAUAUAAUAAAUCAAAUCUUAUGUCAUGGUGGGAACAAUGAACCAUUAAUGAAUUUAGGUUAGUACACUAUAUUUAGUUCAUUAAGUCAUCCAACACUUUUAAAUAAAGGCUCUGACAUGUUCACAAAACUUCA